UACGGAGGGUGCGAGCGUUAAUCGGAAUUACUGGGCGUAAAGGGUGCGUAGGCGGCGCGGUAAGUCGGGUGUGAAAUCUCGGAGCUUAACUCCGAAACUGCAUUCGAUACUGCCGUGCUUGAGGACUGGAGAGGAGACUGGAAUUUACGGUGUAGCGGUGAAAUGCGUAGAUAUCGUAAGGAAGACCAGUGGCGAAGGCGGGUCUCUGGACAGUUCCUGACGCUGAGGCACGAAGGUCAGGGGAGCAAACGGG
rnacentral:rRNA from 1 species